GUCACCUCUGGGCCUUCUGGCCAAGGUUAAGCAUUGUACCUGUACAUUCUCAUCACUUUACUAUCUCAUACAUCCUCGAUCUGAGGACAAUAUAGUAAAGGCAUUUUUGGAGCAGGGAGGUGGAAUAGGAGUUUCCUGUGGCCACACAUGGACCUGGCAUUGCUGCACCUCCAGGAAUGGUGCACCCGCU
ensembl:snRNA U2 U2 spliceosomal RNA